UACGUAGGGAGCAAGCGUUGUCCGGAAUUACUGGGCGUAAAGAGCUCGUAGGUGGUUUGUCGCGUUGUUCGUGAAAACUCACAGCUCAACUGUGGGCGUGCGGGCGAUACGGGCAGACUUGAGUACUGCAGGGGAGACUGGAAUUCCUGGUGUAGCGGUGGAAUGCGCAGAUAUCAGGAGGAACACCGGUGGCGAAGGCGGGUCUCUGGGCAGUAACUGACGCUGAGGAGCGAAAGCGUGGGGAGCGAACAGG
rnacentral:rRNA from 1 species